GAUGAACGCUGGCGAGAUGCCUUACACAUGCAAGUCGUACGAGAAUUUUUAAUUCAAGUGGCGGACGGGUGAGUAACACGUAAGAAUUUGCCUUUAGGAGGGGGAUAAUAACUGGAAACGGUUACUAAUACCCCAUAUGCUUUCGAGUGAAAUGGAGUUUUCCGCCUAGAGAGAAGCUUGCGGCUGAUUAGCUUGUUGGUGGGGUAAUGGCCUACCAAGGCGACGAUCAGUAUCUGGUUUGAGAGGAUGAUCAGACACACUGGAACUGAGACACGGUCCAGACUCCUACGGGAGGCAGCAGUGGGGAAUUUUCCGCAAUGGGCGCAAGCCUGACGGAGCAAUCUCGCGUGAGGGAUGACGGCCUAUGGGUUGUAAACCUCUUUUUUCAGGGAGGAAUAAAAUGACGUGUACCUGAAGAAUAAGCAUCGGCUAACUCCGUGCCAGCAGCCGCGGUAAGACGGAGGAUGCAAGUGUUAUCCGGAAUCACUGGGCGUAAAGCGUCUGUAGGUGGUUUAGUAAGUCAACUGUUAAAUCUUGAAGCUCAACUUCA
rnacentral:rRNA from 1 species